AGAUUGAACGCUGGCGGCAUGCCUUACACAUGCAAGUCGAACGGUAGAGUAGCAAUACUCGAGAGUGGCGAACGGGUGAGUAAUAUAUCGGAACGUGCCCAGUCGUGGGGGAUAACGUAGAGAAAUUUGCGCUAAUACCGCAUACGAUCUACGGAUGAAAGCGGGGGAUCGCAAGACCUCGCGCGAUUGGAGCGGCUGAUAUCAGAUUAGGUUGUUGGUGAGGUAAAAGCUCACCAAGCCGACGAUCUGUAGCUGGUUUGAGAGAACGACCAGCCACACGUGGACUGAGACACGGCCAGACUCCGACGGGAGCAGCAGUGGGUAAUUUGGACAAGUGGGACGAAACGCCUAGGACUCCGAGCUAAAGUCGGACCGCGGUACGGACGAA
rnacentral:rRNA from 1 species